UCUUUAUCCAGAGCAGACUGAGGGAUCAGGCCCAACGAAGCUGCGGCAACCGGCGGAAGCCUCCGCUACGGUGCCAACUCCUGCGGUUAGUCAGUAACCGAAAGAUAAAGG
rnacentral:ncRNA from 2 species